UACGUAGGGUGCAAGCGUUAAUCGGAAUUACUGGGCGUAAAGCGUGCGCAGGCGGUUUUGUAAGUCUGACGUGAAAGCCCCGGGCUUAACCUGGGAAUUGCGUUGGAGACUGCAAGGCUUGAAUCUGGCAGAGGGGGGUAGAAUUCCACGUGUAGCAGUGAAAUGCGUAGAUAUGCGGAGGAACACCGAUGGCGAAGGCAAUCCCCUGGGCCUGCACUGACGCUCAUGCACGAAAGCGUGGGGAGCAAACAGG
rnacentral:rRNA from 1 species